UACGUAGGGCGCAAGCGUUGUCCGGAAUUAUUGGGCGUAAAGAGCUCGUAGGCGGUUUGUCGCGUCUGUCGUGAAAGCUUGGGGCUUAACCCCAAGUCUGCGGUGGAUACGGGCAGACUAGAGGCAGGUAGGGGAGAACGGAAUUCCCGGUGUAGCGGUGGAAUGCGUAGAGAUCCGGAAGAACACCGGUGGCGAAGGCGGCCUGCUGGGACAGUGCUGACGCUGAAGCGCGACAGCGUGGGGAGCAAACAGG
rnacentral:rRNA from 1 species